AUUUCUCAUAUAUUUUUCUUUUUAACCCUUUUUCCUUUCUGCAAAAUAUUCUUCUCACUUUGUAUUUAGUGAAUCAAUCUUUACUUAAUUAUAACGCCGUAGAAAGCCUUCAAUUUAAUCUAAACUAGACCGUGGCUAAGAAAUUCAAAGCUAUACACUGUACUUUGAAUCCAAGUCUAAGAAAUUUUGCAACUUUGACUGCUGCAGAAGAUAUGUAUUCAUAAAUAUAAGCUUUGGAAUUUACUCUCCUUUUUUCUAUCAUUUUGAAACAUGAGCUAUCCCAAGUUUCUAUGUACAUUUCCGUGGUCACAGUGCGAGAUUUUCCAAGGAUGAAACCAGUGAAACUUCAUUAUUCAUGGAAACUUAUUGAGGUUCAUUGCUUUCACUGUCGAGUAAGAAGAUUAUUUCUUUUCUUCAAUAUCAUGAAUCCGAGGAUGCUUUCUGUCAUGCCUGAAACAAAAUUAAGAAAUUAGAUUAACAAAUAAGCAAAUGAAAGUAUAAUACUGAAAUCAUAAGUGUUGAAGAAGUUGGUUUCUUACUGUGCAGUAACAUUGUGUAAUAAUUUCUUCUAGUCUCCCGGGCGACAGAGUGCUCCAUGAACAAUGAGCCCUUGCUGCCUCUCCUCCAAACUCUCUAUGCGCUCUCUGGUAGCGCGAAUGUUCGCUUCUUUCCUUGCAAGAUCUAUUGUUCUAACACUUCUCAAAAGAAAGUUUAG
rnacentral:lncRNA from 1 species